CCUACGGGAGGCAGCAGUGGGGAAUAUUGGGCAAUGGGCGCAAGCCUGACCCAGCAACGCCGCGUGAAGGAAGAAGGCUUUCGGGUUGUAAACUUCUUUUCUCAGGGACGAAGCAAGUGACGGUACCCCUUGAAUAAGCCACGGCUAACUACGUGCCAGCAGCCGCGGUAAUACGUAGGUGGCAAGCGUUGUCCGGAUUUACUGGGUGUAAAGGGCGUGCAGCCGGAGAGACAAGUCAGAUGUGAAAUCCACGGGCUCAACCCGUGAACUGCAAUUGAAACUGUUUCCCUUGAGUGUCGGAGAGGUAAUCGGAAUUCCUUGUGUAGCGGUGAAAUGCGUAGAUAUAAGGAAGAACACCAGUGGCGAAGGCGGAUUACUGGACGAUAACUGACGGUGAGGCGCGAAAGCGUGGGGAGCAAACAGGAUUAGAUACCCGGGUAGUC
rnacentral:rRNA from 1 species